UACGUAGGGGGCAAGCGUUGUCCGGAAUCAUUGGGCGUAAAGCGCGUGUAGGCGGCCCGGUAAGUCCGCUGUGAAAGUCGGGGGCUCAACCCUCGAAUGCCGGUGGAUACUGUCGGGCUAGAGUGCGGAAGAGGCGAGUGGAAUUCCUGGUGUAGCGGUGAAAUGCGCAGAUAUCAGGAGGAACACCAAUUGCGAAGGCAGCUCGCUGGGACGCUACUGACGCUGAGACGCGAAAGCGUGGGGAGCAAACAGG
rnacentral:rRNA from 1 species